rnacentral:snoRNA from 1 species
ACGGCCUUACUUGGAUAGAUCUGUUUUAUAGGAUCGUACUACCGUUUUGUUGAUUUCUAAGGACAUAACGUAGACAGAACAAAACAAGGAUGAAGAUAUAUAAAUAUGAA